AUCAUUUCUCUGCCUUGUGCUUAAGAUAAAGUAUAUAAUAUAUGUUCUUUUAAGUUUAAUAUCUUGUAUGUCCUCUAAGGACAAUAAAUUAAAUGGAUUUUUGGAGUUUGAAGAUGGUAUAAGCCUUGCUUCAACCACUUUAUGCAGUGAUCUGACAUUUCAGUAUCUCUAGGACUUGUACCUACU